AGUGAUGGGCCCUCGUGAAAUGCUUCCUUUUCUCAGUCUUUAGGGUACAGGGACUUCUCAGCUGCUACAAUAUUCUUGGAGUUUGUCAUGCUAAGAGGUAGGUGACAUUGGUGAUGGGCCUCUUUUCACAAGGGCUGAAGCAAGAGAAGAAUUCAGAAGCACAUGAGAGGAAUUCUCAACGAGCUGUGGGAAUGUCUUGGGUUCUGUUUUGGAUACCCUGGCUCUCUCAGGCUGUCCUUGCCAUUGCUGGCCAAGAAGCCCAGAGGAGCAAUGUUGGGAGGCCAAGAAGGAUGAUGGGCAUCGAGAAGUGGAAUACUCUGGAAAAUACCACACUCCUCCUCCUCCUCUUGUGUGAGUGAUGGGCCCUCGUGAAAUGCUUCCAUUUCUCAGUCUUUAGGGUACAGGGACUUCUCAGGUGCUACAAUAUUCUUGGAGUUUGUCAUGCUAAGAGGUAGGUGACAUUGGUGAUGGGCCUCU